rnacentral:rRNA from 2 species
GAUGAAUGCCGGCGGUGUGCCUAAUACAUGCAAGUCGAGCGCACUGGCCCAACUGAUAUGACGUGCUUGCACUGAAUUGACGUUGGAUUCCCAGUGAGCGGCGGACGGGUGAGUAACACGUGGGCAACCUGCCCUGAAGCGGGGGAUAACAUCUGGAAACAGGUGCUAAUACCGCAUAACAACGAAAACCGCAUGGUUUUCGUUUCAAAGAUGGUUUCGGCUAUCACUUCAGGAUGGGCCCGCGGUGCAUUAGCUAGUUGGUAAGGUAACGGCUUACCAAGGCGAUGAUGCAUAGCCGAGUUGAGAGACUGAUCGGCCACAAUGGAACUGAGGCACGGUCCCUACUCCUACGGGAGGCAGCAGUAGGGAAUCUUCCACAAUGGGCGCAAGCCUGAUGGAGCAACACCGCGUGAGUGAAGAAGGGUUUCGGCUCGUAAAGCUCUGUUGUUGGAGAAGAACGUGCGUGAGAGUAACUGUUCACGCAGUGACGGUAUCCAACCAGAAAGUCACGGCUAACUACGUGCCAGCAGCCGCGGUAAUACGUAGGUGGCAAGCGUUAUCCGGAUUUAUUGGGCGUAAAGCGAGCGCAGGCGGUUGUUUAGGUCUGAUGUGAAAGCCUUCGGCUUAACCGAAGAAGUGCAUCGGAAACCGGGCGACUUGAGUGCAGAAGAGGACAGUGGAACUCCAUGUGUAGCGGUGGAAUGCGUAGAUAUAUGGAAGAACACCAGUGGCGAAGGCGGCUGUCUGGUCUGCAACUGACGCUGAGGCUCGAAAGCAUGGGUAGCGAACAGG